UAGUGCCACUGACAAUCGAAGUCAGAACUGAACCGUUAUGAGCGGUCCGCUAUGCCACUUUAGCUACAGCACC
rnacentral:tRNA from 1 species